ACCAAGCCGAUAGUCAGCUUUCGCAAUUUGCCGCACCCGUAAGUGUAUCUGGGUGGGGCAAUUGCGAAAGCUGAGUAUUUGCUUAUA
rnacentral:pre_miRNA from 1 species